GAUGAACGCUGGCGGCGUGCCUAAUACAUGCAAGUCGAGCGAACAGAUGAGGAGCUUGCUCCUCUGACGUUAGCGGCGGACGGGUGAGUAACACGUGGAUAACCUACCUAUAAGACUGGGAUAACUUCGGGAAACCGGAGCUAAUACCGGAUAAUAUAUUGAACCGCAUGGUUCAAUAGUGAAAGACGGUUUUGCUGUCACUUAUAGAUGGAUCCGCGCCGCAUUAGCUAGUUGGUAAGGUAACGGCUUACCAAGGCAACGAUGCGUAGCCGACCUGAGAGAGUGAUCGGCCACACUGGAACUGAGACACGGUCCAGACUCCUACGGGAGGCAGCAGUAGGGAAUCUUCCGCAAUGGGCGAAAGCCUGACGGAGCAACGCCGCGUGAGUGAUGAAGGUCUUCGGAUCGUAAAGCUCUGUUAUUAGGGAAGAACAAAUGUGUAAGUAACUAUGCACGUCUUGACGGUACCUAAUCAGAAAGCCACGGCUAACUACGUG
rnacentral:rRNA from 1 species